ACUGAUGAUGCUCCAUCUUCCCUCCUCCAUUUACACUUUGCAACAAGUGCUCAUUUUCUUCCCUUCUCCAUUCACGCUCCCCAACAAGGUUUUUCGCUUUUCCCCUUCCAUCGACGUCACAAGGGUCACAUAACCAAUUGCACUACCGCAACGAAUGACCAUUUCUAGGUGGAAACAAGCGACAGGAGCUUGACGCAAGAUCGAGAGGCUUUUGGCAGUUCAAAGAAUCAUGGGUUGCUGCUGACUGAUGCGGCACCAACACUGGUGACUAGCAACUAUAAAAUCCCAAACCCAAAAUUUUUGGAUUUCCAUGUUAUUGUUUAUUGAUUUUUAGGUUUGGGUAGUUGACAAUUUGUUUGAUAUAUAAAUUAUUUUGAUUUUGCUAUAAAAUUGGGAGUUUAUGUUGUUGUCUGUGUGCUUUCAAAGAAGAUAUUUGGUUAUUGCUAUAAAUACUGGGAAAUGCCAUGAUGUUGGAGCUUGGAUUGGAGAUGUCUUCUGGGUUUUGGUUCAAGGACUAAUAAUGUCCAAUUAAUUUUAGUUUUAAUUUAAUUUCUUUAAAAAAACUUUAAUUUAAUUGUAAUUAUUUU
rnacentral:lncRNA from 1 species